rnacentral:rRNA from 1 species
AUUGAACGCUGGCGGCAGGCCUAACACAUGCAAGUCGAACGAGUGGCGGACGGGUGAGUAAUGUCUGGGAAACUGCCUGAUGGAGGGGGAUAACUACUGGAAACGGUAGCUAAUACCGCAUACCAUCGGAUGUGCCCAGAUGGGAUGAGCUAGUAGGUGGGGUAAAGGCUCACCUGGGCGACGAUCCCUAGCGGGUCUGAGAGGAUGACCAGCCACACUGGAACUGUGACACGGUCCAGACGCCUACGGGUGGCACCAGUGGCGAAUAUUGGACAUUGGGCGAAAGCCUGAUGCAGCCAUGCCGCGUGUGUGAAGAUGGCCUUCGGGUUGUAAAGUACUUUAAGCGGGGAGGCGUUACCCGCAGAAGAAGCACCGGCUAACUCCGUGCCAGCAGCCGCGGUAAUUC